UUAAGCAUAUCAAUAAGCGGAGGAAAAGAAACUACCCGACCCGUCUUGAAACACGGACCAAGAAGUUCAACAUGCGCGCGAGUCAUGGGGUCCUACGAAACCCAAAGGCGCAAUGAAAGUGAAGCCUUGCUGCUCUUUGCGCAGCAUGGUGUGGUGAGAUCCCGCUGUUUCUCGCAUGCACUUGUUAUUUGUGACGAGGACCAGCAGCUGGGGCUAGUAGCUAUGUUGUCUCGUGCAGCAAAGACAACUAGACGAGCAGCGGGCGCAUCACCGGCCCGUCCCUUGAUGUGGCUAUUGGUUUGCAGCGGUGGUCGGGCAACAACUGACUGCCUGUCUGUCUGCCCGGUACGUCAUCGGGGCGGAGCAUGAGCGCGCAUGUUGAGACCCGAAAGAUGGUGAACUAUGCUUGCGUAGGUUGAAGCCAGAGGAAACUCUGGUGGAGGACCGCAGCGAUUCUGACGUGCAAAUCGAUCGUCAAACGUGAGCAUAGGGGCGAAAGACUAAUCGAACCAUCUAGUAGCUGGUUCCCUCCGAAGUUUCCCUCAGGAUAGCA
rnacentral:rRNA from 1 species